AUGGCUGGACAGAUGCUCAGCUUCAGGUGGAAAACAGGUCCCAGAUGUGAGCAAGGCCUGGUGACUAUAGCUCACACAGGGGCUCAGGGACAAAACCAUCAGGGAACAGCUCUGGACCCACUGAAGGUGGAGAUGAGGAAGGGAGGCAGAGCUAUCUUGGCACAGAGCUCGGGCACCCAGCCCAGGCAGGGACUCAGAAGGUCUCCGUGUCUGUGUGGAGCCAAAGGAUAUUGUUGGGGCUUUGAGCUAGUGCCUGAAGAAGAACGUCUAUCCAGGGGCCCUCAGAGACCUGAAGGGGAUGGGACCAUCCUACCCAUAUGGACCAGGGUUGCCACUGGGAGGGGCCCAAGGUGGGGGUGGGAUAUCCAGGCCAUGAGUGCAUAGAUCUCUGCUCAUCCAGAGAUGAUAUGUGUGGUCCAGUGAACCAUAGAAACCACGGUAUGUCAGUGAGAUGGAGGUCAGCUGGGAGGCAGCGCUCAGGCAGAAGGGCACAGUCAUCAGGGACAUGGAAAAAGUGAUGUCGUUAAGGAACAAUGUGAGCCAAAGGAAUGAGCUGUAA
ensembl:processed_transcript Gm9899 predicted gene 9899